GACGAACGCUGGCGGCGUGCUUAACACAUGCAAGUCGAACGGAAAGGCCCUGCGUUUGUUCGGUGCUCGAGUGGCGAACGGGUGAGUAUCACGUGAGUAACCUGCCCUUGACUUUGGGAUAACUUCAGGAAACUCGGGCUAAUACCGGGUAGGAGCUCUUGCUGCAUGGUGGGGGUUGGAAAGUGCCGGCCGUUGGGGAUGGACUCGCGGGUUAUCAACUUGUUGGUGGGGUAGUGGUUUACCAAGGGUUUGACGGGUAGGCGGCAUGAGAGGUGGACCGGCGACCAGGGUCCUGCGGGAGGGAGCAGUCGCCAACGGGAGGCAACGGGGGGGAGUAUGGCAGAGCGGGGGGAAGCGUGAUGCAGCAACGCCGCGAGCGGGAUGACGGCCUUCGGGCUGUAAACCGCUUUCGCCUGUGACGAAGAGGGAGUGACGGUAAUGGGUAAAGAAGCAACGGCUAACUACGUG
rnacentral:rRNA from 1 species